GUGAUAGUGGGGUCUCUAGUACAACUUCCACCUCUUCCGGAGAGAGUUCCUGCUGGCCAUAGAAGAUUUUGCCAUAGGGGCUUAAUUCCUUCACCUCGGCGCGCAGCCAAUCGCCACAUCGAGCUGGCACUGUUUCCUCUUGCUUCAAGUUUUACUUCGACGACUGCACCCAGUUUGGAUGCUAGUUCCUCAAUGACAGCGUAGGAUACUCUCCCAUACGGUUCACAUUGCCGGAGUAUGAGAAGAUGACCAGAAAAGGACCAAGGUCCUGUGUGGAGUACCCGCUGUGCUUCAGUUUCCGAUUGAAAGGAGAAUGAAUAAAAACCCGAUUCUAAAGUUGCACAGGGGCUUUGUUGGAUUCGUGAAUAUAUGGGUCGAAGGGAGCUCUGUUGGGUGAAUCACUGGAGUCGAGAGAUGAGGUGAAGGGUGUUCACUGGAGCGCGAAUCUGUGCGAUGGAUGUGGCUUUAUGCGUAGGUUAGGGUUUUAAGUUAGGGUUUGCGAGGAACCUUAAAAAGGAUUUCAGUUGCUGGAGAGGAGCUUCGAUGGGAGGGUGAGGAGCGGGGCUUCGCUUUACGAAGAGAGAGUGGAUCGGGAUUGGAAGCUACCCAGCAGGUAGAGGGGGACUACACAAGCGGUAGAGGGAGAC